CCAUCACCUCCUCCCUCUCCCUCCGCGCAUAGGGCCGGCCGGCGCAGGCCGGCGAGGCAGGUCAGAGCAAGCGCAAGCGCGCGCGAGCGGGGCCGGCAGCGCGCUCUAGCGGAGCGAGCGGGGCAGCUGCUUGCCGACGCGCGCGGGGGGGAGGCAGGCAGGGGCCGCGGCGUGGCUGUGGAGCUCCGAGGACGAACGCGAGCUCGACGCCCGCACAGGGGGUGUGCUUCACGGACGCGCCUUCCUCCCCCUCGAUUCCCCCGCCGCCAAAUCCGAGGGUUUUUUUCCCGCCCCAAAUGGAGGAGGUCGAAGCUCGAGCUCCAUUCCUGCAUCACACGGUCGGAUGCAGAGGCAUCGUGCCCCAGGAUGCCGCCGCCGCUCGCCGAGACGCCGCCACCGGCCCGAUCUACAGAAGCCCAGCCACGCGGACACGAAGGCAUCGUGCGCUAGGACACCGCCGCCCGCGGCUGCUGCUGCUCGUCGUCGCUCCAGCAUCCCCGGCCCAGCGCGAGCACGCCUACUCCUGUGGCCCAGCGCGCCUCCGCCCACCGUCAGCCCAGCGCAUCGCUCCGGCGUCCCAGGCAAAGCAGCGCGGUGGAGGCCAGGAACCCGACGCCCAGCGCGCCUCUGCGCAGGGGUGAGGGGCUGAUUGCUUUUCUGUUUUAGAUCAAGGGGUGUGUGUGUAAAUUUUUUGCUCUUACAAUCUGGCCCCACUUGUCAGAAUGUUGUUAAAUGAGACAAAUCACCGUAUCAGUGGAAUUUGCAAAAAAGUUUACUAGAAACACGGUGAUUUUUGGACAAAA